CCUUCGAUAGCUCAGCAGGUAGAGCGGAGGACUGUAGAUCCUUAGGUCGCUGGUUCGAUUCCGGCUCGAAGGA
rnacentral:tRNA from 1 species